AACGCACAUUGCGCCCCUUGGUAUUCCAUGGGGCAUGCCUGUUCGAGCGUCAUUUGUACCUUCAAGCUCUGCUUGGUGUUGGGUGUUUGUCCUUGCUCUAGUGGCGGGACUCGCCUUAGAGUAAUUGGCAGCCAGUGCUUUGGUUUUGAAGCGCAGCACAAGUCGCGAUUCAAGUCUAUACGCUAGUUUCCACAAGUCUUUUAUCACUUUUGACCUCGGAUCCGGUAGGGAUACCCGCUGAACUUAA
rnacentral:misc_RNA from 1 species